rnacentral:rRNA from 1 species
UACGUAGGGUGCAAGCGUUAAUCGGAAUUACUGGGCGUAAAGCGCGCGUAGGCGGCUUGGUAAGUCGAUUGUGAAAUCCCCGGGCUCAACCUGGGAAUUGCAGUCGAUACUGUCAGGCUAGAGUGUGGGAGAGGGUAGUGGAAUUCCCGGUGUAGCGGUGAAAUGCGUAGAUAUCGGGAGGAACAUCAGUGGCGAAGGCGACUGCCUGGCCCAACACUGACGCUGAGGUGCGAAAGCGUGGGUAGCAAACAGG